CACGUGGACACAUAGGAACGUUUAGGAAACAUAAACAUAACAAGUCUGCUUCAAAACUUGUUUUGUGACAAUCAUGCUCAGACUAUAAUGCUAGAUAAGUAUCUGAUAGAUGCUUACCUCAUCCAUCUUUCCGAGGUCAAGACCUUCAAAAUUCUUCAAUGUCAGGUUUGGAGGCAAAGUGAAUCUGUAGUAGAAGAAAGCACAUCGUUACUCUAUAAUUUCUAGCUAUCUGUUUGCAUGUUCGAAUCAAAUCAAGCUCUUGUCACAUUUCAUUGACAUGGCUUCACCUGUUCUUGAUAUCAGACUCUCUGCGGCCUAGCCUUGGGGUGUCUACAGUGAGAGCAAUAGCUUUGAACCCAGCCCUUUCAGCUCUUCUCACGAGCUGCUCAACAACAUUCCUGUUCUUGUAUACCUACUCAGAACAAUCAUAACGUGUGAACCAUCAAGUCUGACCAGGUUUAUCAGGAUGUACGACAAGCGACUGAGAUAACUUACAUAGAGCUGGAAAAAUCGAAUCCCUGGUCCUGUGGAAGCAACUUCUUCAACACUGGAAGUAGCCCAUGAAGAUAGUGUCUGAAAGCAUCACGGAAAUACUCAAACCAGAGACAUGGGGUAUGCGUGGAUAUUGGAUUAAGAAGCUCUAAACACCUGAAAGUUUAAGUAUCUUUGCUUAAGAUGAAAUCUUUCGUAAUAAAAUAAUAACAUACCAUGAUGGUUCCAGCUGCAGACGCAGCUCUAGCCGUAGCAUAUUCCCCUGCAUUAGUUUCCAGUAGAGUCUUUAGAACAAGGCCUUAGUCUUUUGGUUUUAGCGGUGCUCAAAAAAGUUUUCACUAUCUACUUAACCAAGUUUCUACAGAAUGUUUCGCUUCUCGCCAGAGUGUUUUGCAGGAAAAGGCAGAAGUCAUUUACCUUCCGGGUGAGCCAUCUUUUGCAUGGCAGUAGGAGCAACCAUGAUCGGCAUCGAGAUCUUGAACCCCAAGACGGUUGUUGUCAUAUCAAUCUUGCUCACAUCAAUCAGAAUCCGAGGCCGAAAGCUGUUAAACAUCCCAAGUUAUGUAUACCAAAUAACAACGUGUUCUCAUGUCUUAAGAAAAAAAAAAGAAGAAAGAAAGAAGAAGAACUCACAGGAUCCUUGCGAAAGCGUUUCUGUUCUCUUGAAGAGUCCAUUGGUCUUCUGCGCCAGAGGCAUAGUAGUCGUAUACCAUCUUAGGCAACUUCUGCUUUGCGAUAGCUUCAUACUCGGUAACGUUUGUGAUCUCCAUUUUCCGAUGCUGGUCUGUCAAAAGAGCAAAAAGGCCUGAGUUAAUAAGUUAGCUGUAGUGAAACUCAAGAGAUAGUGCACGAACGCAAAACACAAUCUGGUUUGUUGUUAGUCUUAACACACAGAAUCUCACACACCUUUGAUGGGGAUGGAGCUCUCGGGAGAGAUGAAGGGUGUGACUGGUAACGCUUAUAUUAUCAUAUAUCUCACAAUGUUUUAUUAUUGGUUAAAAGUUAAAUACACCUGUAAUGUAUUAAUUGGCUUGUGAAAUAUAUUUUCUAACAAGUGAAAAUUGUUGGCAGAGGAAAAAUAAUAUGGAUGAGAAGCUGAAGGUGAAGAAUGGAUGAGAAGAUACGGACAAGGAUCAGAUGGGGUUGUGUGUAUCUAAUUCACUAGCAACUUGUGUGUUCCCUAAAUUUUCUUUCAUAUUAUCGUGCUUAAUCUCAUGGGGAGAAAAAAAAAAAAAUCGUAAACCAAUUGGUUUUCAUUCUUUUGAAAGGACAUAAAUAAAUCCGAGUGGAUGAUGAUAUGGAAGAGAAACUAAAAAGCGUGCGAGGAAGAAGAGCCGGAUUUUACAGGCCUAGUUAUAAACCUUAAAGCCCAAAUACUAUUGGGCUUAACAAUGGGAGAAAGAGUCCAUAAUUUGUUGAUGCAGAUAAUCAAAGUAUAGUCGUUUCUGUGAGUGUGCCCGUGUUAAAUAUUUAAGCUGUUGUUUUGAUUGAGAAGAUGGAAAAUGCUCAGUGAAGAAGAGCACGAAAAGGGGGAAAAAGAAAAACAGAGACAGAGUCCAUAACUUUUAUACAUUUAUCGAUUUCAAUGGCGGACCGGAGCAGGGGCUUUCUGAGAUGAUUUUUGGGACAUGUGCUCUUACAUUCUUCUCUAUAUCGCCAUUUCAACCGGUCAAAUCUCUUAUUCAGUAAGGUUUCACUUAAAAUUUCACAGCUUCUCUGUAUCUACGUUCUCGCAUCGUUUUGUUCUGUGCACUUUCGAUUUGUGAACCGAUCUCUAGUUGUCUCUAUUGUAUAAGUAAGAAGAUUGUACUGAAGGUAGAAGUAGCCAAAUAGCAUUACAGAGAGAAUCUGUAGUCAUGUUUUGUGAUUUUCGAUAUAGCGAGAGAAACAAGUUUUGAGAUAAAAAAGGAAAAAAAGCAGAGUUUAAGCCAAGUAUGAAGUGAGCAAUGAUAAGAAUAAAGUGUAGCCAUUACAUGCCCUGUCUUGUUGCUGUUCUCUGGUGGUUGUUUCUUUUCUUUCCUCUACAACCUGGGCAAAUGGCGCGGCGUGUCCCAUUCGGUGACAAUGUGGUUGCGCGUAAUUUCACUGAGAGACCGGCACCCACUUAGUGCCAUGGUUAGCUCGAACUCAUCGCGUAGCAUUUGAAGCACCUUUCUCACUCCAGCUUCUCCUUCAGCAGCCAGUGAGAAUACCACUGGUCUCCCAAUCUGAGACCGAGAGGGCAAUUAUCAAUAACGUGACAGUUAUCAAUGGUUUCAACCAGUGUAAAUGGAGAUAUGAUGCUUACAAAUAUCCCUGAGGCUCCAAGUGCAAGUGCCUUGAAGACAUCAGUUCCACGUCGAACACCACCAUCCAAGAAGACAGGAACUCUUCCCUGUGUCGCCUUGACAACCUGAACACACGAGAACAGUGCUGAAUUUGCUGAUUCAAGAACACAAUUUGACCUUUAUAGCCUUGAAUGAUCUACCUCUUCCAGAGCUGAGAUUGUUGCUGGCACAUAGUCGAGCUGGCGAGCUCCAUGGUUUGACACAAUGAUCCCUGCUGCUCCAGCUUGAAUCGCUAUCCUUGCUGCAAUGAGGACAAUAAUUGUUGAUCUUGUCAAGUAUUGGAAACUUUUAAGUGAUGGAAACAUUUCAUUUUUCAGAUAGUAACUGACCAUCCUCCCCUGUAAGAACACCCUUGACAAGAAUGGGCAUGCUGGUGAUUGUCUGGAGCCACUGGACGUCCUGUUUGUGUAGAUGGAAGUUAGAGAAAUCUGAAUCAAACAAUCAAGUUUUGCGAUGCUAAUUUAUGGUACUCUUUUACCUUCCAGCUCAAGGUACGGUCAAUUUGACCAGCAACAUAUGAAGCCAAACCAGAGUCAUUGGCCUGCAGGUGGACACAUAACAAGCUCAGGAACACUUAGGAAACGUAAACAUAACAAGUCUGCUUUAAGACUUGUUUCAUGAGUAGAUCACUGCCAUUAUUCAGACGAUAUAUGCUUACCUCAUCCAUCUUUCCGAGGUCAAGACCUUCAAAGUUCUUCAGUGUCAGGUUUGAAGGCAAAGUGAAUCUGUGUAGAAGAACACAAAUCGUUACUUCACAAUUUUUUUUGCUAUCUGUU
rnacentral:lncRNA from 1 species